rnacentral:rRNA from 1 species
CGGGAUACCCGAGGGAAACUUCGGUUAAUACGGUAUAAGACCACACUACCGCAUGGUAGAGGGGUAAAAGGGGCAACCUGGUAUGAGAUGGACUCGCGUCGCAUUAGCUAGUUGGUGAGGUAACGGCCCACCAAGGCGACGAUGCGUAGCCGACCUGAGAGGGUGAUCGGCCACAUUGGGACUGAGAUACGGCCCAGACUCCUACGGGAGGCAGCAGUGGGGAAUAUUGGGCAAUGGAGGAAACUCUGACCCAGCAAUGCCGCAUGAAUGAAGAAGGUCUUCGGAUUGUAAAGUUCUUUAGUCAGGGAAGAAGUCAAUGACGGUACCUGAAGAAUAAGCUCCGGCUAACUACGUGCCAGCAGCCGCGGUAAUACGUAGGGAGCAAGCGUUGUUCGGAAUGACUGGGCGUAAAGGGUGCGUAGGCGGUUGUACAAGUUAGAAGUGAAAUACCCAGGGCUUAACUCGGGUGCUGCUUCUAAAACUGUAUGACUUGAGUGCAGUAGAGGUUAGUGGAAUUCCUAGUGUAGCGGUGGAAUGCGUAGAUAUUAGGAGGAACACCAGAGGCGAAGGCGGCUAACUGGACUGCAACUGACGCUGAGGCACGAAAGUGUGGGGAGCAAACAGGAUUAGAUACCCUGGUAGUCCACACUGUAAACGAUGGAUACUAGAUGUAGGAGGUAUCGACUCCUUCUGCGUCGCAG